GAUCUAGAUGAGCAUCAGAAAACUAGGACCCGACAGAUUGCACUAGGGUAUAGAAUUACAGGAUAAUCACCACAAGAAAUCAAGAACCAAUCAAAUCCGAACUAGAAAACAAGAACCCUCUUUGGAAAACCGAAUAAAGAAAGAGAACAGGAACAAGGGAAGAUACUAUCUAACACCGAUUCCGAACUAGAAUCAAGAACCGUAAGAAUGGUGAAAUCGCCAGAAGUAACGCCAAAAUCGAAAAGAACAUCAGGAACCACAUAAGAAUGCAAAGACAAUGCAAGA
rnacentral:lncRNA from 1 species